AUUGAACGCUGGCGGCAUGCCUUACACAUGCAAGUCGAACGGCAGCGCGUCCUUCGGGAUGGCGGCGAGUGGCGAACGGGUGAGUAAUACAUCGGAACGUGCCCGAGAGUGGGGGAUAACGCAGCGAAAGCUGUGCUAAUACCGCAUACGAUCUCAGGAUGAAAGCAGGGGACCGCAAGGCCUUGCGCUCACGGAGCGGCCGAUGGCAGAUUUAGGUAGUUGGUGGGAUAAAAGCUUACCAAGCCGACGAUCUGUAGCUGGUCUGAGAGGACGACCAGCCACACUGGGACUGAGACACGGCCCAGACUCCUACGGGAGGCAGCAGUGGGGAAUAUUGCACAAUGGGCGAAAGCCUGAUGCAGCGACGCCGCGUGAGGGGAUGACGGCCUUCGGGUUGGUUAAAACCCUCUUUCUAGCAGGGAAGAAGGCGCAAGUGACGGUACCUGCAGAAGAAGGCACCGGCGUAACUACGUGCCAGCAGCCG
rnacentral:rRNA from 1 species